rnacentral:rRNA from 1 species
UACGUAGGGACCAAGCGUUGUUCGGAUUUACUGGGCGUAAAGGGCGCGUAGGCGGCUUAACAAGUCACUUGUGAAAUCUCCGGGCUUAACUCGGAACGGCCAUGUGAAACUGUCAAGCUAGAGUGCAGAAGGGGCAAUCGGAAUUCUUGGUGUAGCGGUGAAAUGCGUAGAUAUCAAGAGGAACACCUGAGGUGAAGGCGGGUUGCUGGGCCAACACUGACGCUGAUGCGCGAAAGCCAGGGGAGCAAACGGG